rnacentral:rRNA from 1 species
GUCGAGCGAUGAUCCGUGUGCUUGCGCCGGGGAUUAGUGGGGAACGGGUGAGUAACACGUGAGUAACCUGCCCUUGACUCUGGGAUAAGCCUGGGAAACUGGGUCUAAUACCGGAUAUGACUCCUCGUCGCAUGGUGGGGGGUGGAAAGCUUUUUGUGGUUUUGGAUGGACUCGCGGCCUAUCAGCUUGUUGGUGGGGUAAUGGCCUACCAAGGCGACGACGGGUAGCCGGCCUGAGAGGGUGACCGGCCACACUGGGACUGAGACACGGCCCAGACUCCUACGGGAGGCAGCAGUGGGGAAUAUUGCACAAUGGGCGAAAGCCUGAUGCAGCGACGCCGCGUGAGGGAUGACGGCCUUCGGGUUGUAAACCUCUUUCAGUAGGGAAGAAGCCCUCUUUGGGGGUGACGGUACUUGCAGAAGAAGCGCCGGCUAACUACGUGCCAGCAGCCGCGGUAAUACGUAGGGCGCAAGCGUUAUCCGGAAUUAUUGGGCGUAAAGAGCUCGUAGGCGGUUUGUCGCGUCUGCUGUGAAAGACCGGGGCUCAACUCCGGUUCUGCAGUGGGUACGGGCAGACUAGAGUGCAGUAGGGGAGACUGGAAUUCCUGGUGUAGCGGUGAAAUGCGCAGAUAUCAGGAGGAACACCGAUGGCGAAGGCAGGUCUCUGGGCUGUAACUGACGCUGAGGAGCGAACAGCAUGGGGAGCGAACAGGAUUAGAUACCCUGGUAGUCCAUGCCGUAAACGUUGGGCACUAGGUGUGGGGGACAUUCCACGUUUUCCGCGCCGUAGCUAUCGCAUUAAGUGCACCGCGUGCUGAGUACGGCCGCAAGGCUAAAACUCAAAGGAAUUGACGAGGGCCCGCACAAGCGGCGGAGCAUGCGGAUUAAUUCGAUGCAACUCGAAGAACCUUACCAAGGCUUGACAUGGACCGGAAAGACCUGGAAACAGGUGCCCCGCUUGCGGCCGGUUUACAGGUGGUGCAUGGUUGUCGUCAGCUCGUGUCGUGAGAUGUUGGGUUAAGUCCCGCAACGAGCGCAACCCUCGUUCUAUGUUGCCAGCGGUUCGGCCGGGGACUCAUAGGAGACUGCCGGGGUCAACUCGGAGGAAGGUGGGGACGACGUCAAAUCAUCAUGCCCCUUAUGUCUUGGGCUUCACGCAUGCUACAAUGGCCGGUACAAAGGGUUGCGAUACUGUGAGGUGGAGCUAAUCCCAAAAAGCCGGUCUCAGUUCGGAUUGGGGUCUGCAACUCGACCCCAUGAAGUCGGAGUCGCUAGUAAUCGCAGAUCAGCAACGCUGCGGUGAAUACGUUCCCGGGCCUUGUACACACCGCCCGUCAAGUCACGAAAGUUGGUAACACCCGAAGCCGGUGGCCUAACCCUUGUGGGGG